UCACGACCUUUGUGUUUAUUUUUAUACACAGACUUCAAAACAAAAAAGAUAAACAUUACAAUCUUUAUAUUGAAAUUUAAUAUGAAAAUCAACAAUAAUAACAAAGUCAACAUGAAUAACAAUGUCGUAUUGUAACAAUGGUAACACAGAAAAUCUCCUUCAUAGACAUAAUCCAGUCAAACUAAUCAAAUAAAAUCUAUCGUAUAAUGGUUAUGUGCAUCAGUCUACAAACAGUAUAAAAACACCAUUGAUAGUUCAUAAUCAGGUCAAAGAUCUCCCAGCAUUACAUAGACAUACAAAGUACUUUUGCACGAGUUAAAGUCUUCAUUGUUUAUUGACAGGUAUUUUAGUCACGUGUUCCAUUUUUUUAUUACCUGAAUCAUUAUCUUGCUUCCAAAAAGAUAAACGUCAAAAAAACAAAACAUAAUAACAGAAAACAAUAUAUUUCAUAAAAAUGUGGUAUUUUUUUCAAUGGUAAAUUUAUACUGCUUGUAGCCAGAGACUUAUCUUUCCUUGUACAUGGUUCAAUUUGUUUUCAUUUUGAAUGACAAAACACACUGAAUUUGGCAUGACUAAAUUAUGUAUACAUUGCAAAACCUUAUACCAUUGGCAAGUAGAAAUCACACAUCAAUGUAACACAAUGUAAUAAGGAUCUCAUGAGUAUGAUAAUGCUACACGUAGUUUGAAAUGACCGUCAAAUUUACAUGUAACUCUAGGUUUCCUAGUCGUUGAUAAGUGCGGUAAAUUUUAAGUUAUUUGUGGUGAUUUCAGUUUGUACAAGACAGAAUCUGUCAGUUAGAUGUGCAGUUAUUGUGAAUUUGGAACUUGAACCAUAACAUUGACAAUUAUUCAAAGUACCGUUAAAAUAAAAAAAAAAGUGAAAGUGGAAAAGUACUUAAACAAUCUUUAAAGAAA